GUAGGGAAUAUUGGGCAAUGGAUGCAAGUCUGACCCAGCCAUGCCGCGUGCAGGAAGAAGGUCCUCUGGAUUGUAAACUGCUUUUUUGGGGGAAGAAUAGUUUUCUUGCGAGGAAAUGUGACGGUACCCUAAGAAUAAGCCACGGCUAACUACGUGCCAGCAGCCGCGGUAAUACGUAGGUGGCAAGCGUUGUCCGGAUUUAUUGGGUUUAAAGGGUGCGUAGGUGGUUUGAUAAGUCAGUGGUGAAAGCCGGUUGAUCAACAAUCGAGUUGGCAUUGAUACUGUCGGACUUGAGAGAAGUGGAGGUUCAUGGAAUGGAUGGUGUAGCGGUGAAAUGCAUAGAUAUCAUCCAGAACGUCGAUUGCGAAGGCAGUGGGCUGUACUUUAUCUGACACUGAGGCACGAAAGUGUGGGGAUCAAACAGGAUUAGAUACCCCUGUAGUCC
rnacentral:rRNA from 1 species